ensembl:lncRNA
AAAAAUUAUGAGAAAAGGAAAACAUGGUAACAAAGUCUUCAUAAAUAGGGAAGGGUAUAGGGGGUGAAGUGAGGGGAGGGAAUGGGGAAAAAUAUGAACGAAGAUACAUCGUGUACAGGUACAAGUAUGUAAUAAUAAAUGUAAAUGUAUUGUGUACCUAAAAUGUACCAAUAAAAAUUUAAGAAAAAAAAGAAAAAGAAAAGAAGCUAAAAUAACCACCAUAGGCAGGAUACAUAGAAAGGAAAUAAUUGCAAAGCACAGUACAAUCAACUUUCUGAAAACCUUUAAUAAAGACAGUUCUUAAAAACAGCCAGAGAGGAAUGAUAACAACAGAAAAUAAGAUUUACCACUGAUUUCUGGCACAAAUAGUAUGAAUCCUACCGUGUUUUAUUGUAUCUACUUAGAAGUGUAAACCUAAAAAUCUCUGUGGUUAAUGAUGCUGCAGUAUGAAAUAUGCCAUAAUCAUUUCUAGGGAGUCAGUCUUUCAUUUACUCUUACUUUGUGUCAGUCACCUUAAAGAGGGACCUCAGAUACAAAGAUUUGCUUUGGCUCAUGGCUUUGGAGAGCCCAGUCCUGGGUCUGGACAGGCAGUCCCCCUGCUUUGGACAUCUGAUGGCACCAGGUGAUGGUGAGGAGCGUGUGGCAGAAAAAACUGCUCAGUGUGUGAGGAGGAAAUGAAACAGAGAAAGGAAGGCAAUGGAGAUCUACUGUCUCCACAAGGGCAUAAUCGCAAGGAUCUGAGGAUUUCCCCCAAGGCAGCAGAGAUUUGUACAAGUUCCACAGUCUCCCAGAAGCCCCACUCGGGAGCCUGUAGGGGACGUUUAGUUUCCAAACUAUAGCAGUUGUGUCCACCAUGAUUUGUGUGUGUGUGUGUGUGUGUGUGCGCGCGCGCGUGUGUGUGUGUGUGUGUGUGUGACAUACAAGGUGUGAGAAAUGUACGGUGAAUGUUAAUAAAAGUAUUUUACAGUUAAGGACACAUUGCCAUUGAUCCCCCUAAUACUCCUCCCCCUUGAUUUACAUUCACACGCACUGAUCACGUUGCUCUUGCCUCUUCCUGAGGCCGUUCUGGGAGUCCUCCCUCGGGAGUGCCUUCAGGGGCCUGAUCAAAAGUCAGCUGCCGAGCGCUGCAUGCCAUAAAGUCAGGAAAGUAAAAACUUCCCAGUUUGCCCUCAUCUGUCUUAUCCAAUGGGUCUGACACCAUGCUACUCUCCUGUCCCCCAAAGUCAAAAGGACCAAGAAAGGUAAAUGGUGUGUAACAAUUCGGGACAUCUAGGCAGUGUAAAUGGACCAAUGAAAGACACUCAUGAAAGUGGACUUCAGAUCUACUUCAGAAGUGUCAAGACAAAUGGGAUAAACUUGUUCCGAGACAGAGUGAGUUUUGAAGAGGAUUAGUAGCUAUAUGUCUUUUACUCUAAUACAUUUUUUAAAAAAUUGAAAUAGUCAUUUUAUCUUAGUCACACUCCGUAAAGUAGUAGAACAAUGGUCCAUCUGCAAACACUGAAAUCCUACAUAAAUUGUUUUAAAUUAUAUUUUAAGGUAUCAGUAGUCUUAAAAAAUGUUUAAUGUGAGACAAAUUUCAAACAGAUAUACAUCUUUUUAAAGAAUGAAGGUUUGAUCAUUUUCCCCUGGAAAUGCUUACUAUUCCCUCACCCACCAUAGGAUUAAGCUUGCCUAGGGGUGCGACUGAAGCUUGGGUGAUCCAUACUGCCAGACACAUUGAAAUUUGAUCAGAACCAAGUUGUGGUGUUUUCUUCCCAUGAGACACUGCAGGUGCUGUAGGGUUAGAAAACUAAACCAGCUGCUUAAGGAGAAGUCAGGUCUGCUUCAGCCACACCAGAAGGUCAGCAAGGGGAAUCUUCCAGAAGGAUGGAGAGCAGGGGUAAUGUGACGUGGGUGAAAAUAGGCUUGAUCAAGUGUCAGCAAGUCUUUCUGAACAGAAGAAGAAAUGAGCCACGGUAGCUCUUCACAGUAACAGCCUCACUGGGUGGACUGUGACAUGCACGGCAACACUGGUGCAAGACUCAAAACUGGAUCAGAGGAAUAGAGCAGCUUGCACUGCACCAGGAUCUUUCCUAUGUGUCCAAAGACAUGUUGAUUCUUUAUUGGUGAGAAGUGACUGAAAAACAGAGGAGUGGUAUUUUCAGUUGGGGAUUUUUGGUUGUCUAUAGGUAAACAAGUAGCAGUUUAACUUUGCUGACAUUAAGAACUUUUGUUCACAAAGGAAGAGCAAGUUGAAGACAAAAUCAACCAUAGCACAGUAAGCAGCCCACACCCAGAGCAUGUCUCACUCACCACCAUGAGGGGCCGCACUUCGAGUGCUUCUCAAGCCUUGUGGAUCAGUGAAGGAAGAACCAGGACCUUGGAGCAGGACAUGCAGAGGAUGCUUCCUUGCUCUGAAGGUGGAAUCUUGAUACUCAGCCCUGACUGUCGACUGAACGCACUUUGCAACAUUGGUGAACUCUAAGGUUCAUGGUCAUUCUGUUGAAUGAGGCUGGCAGGAAAUUUCCAACCUUGAAAUUCAGCUUUCUUCUUUCCAGAGAAGAAUUUUUAAAAGAAACACCAGUGGAUAUGUUAAGUAUUCUGUUCCCUUCAGUGUAUAAGAUGACUGGUAAUCUUCUGCAAGUGCAUGUCUUGAUUUCUGGUUAAAGAUCAAACCCUUAGGUUUUGUUACA